UGGGGCGUAGUCAAGCGGUAAGACACAUGGUUUUGGUCCAUGCAUUCGCGGGUUCGAAUCCUGCCGCCCCAACCA
rnacentral:tRNA from 1 species